rnacentral:rRNA from 1 species
AGAGUUUGAUCAUGGCUCAGAUUGAACGCUGGCGGCAGGCCUAACACAUGCAAGUCGAGCGGUAGAGAGAAGCUUGCUUCUCUUGAGAGCGGCGGACGGGUGAGUAAUGCCUAGGAAUCUGCCUGGUAGUGGGGGAUAACGCUCGGAAACGGACGCUAAUACCGCAUACGUCCUACGGGAGAAAGCAGGGGACCUUCGGGCCUUGCGCUAUCAGAUGAGCCUAGGUCGGAUUAGCUAGUUGGUGAGGUAAUGGCUCACCAAGGCGACGAUCCGUAACUGGUCUGAGAGGAUGAUCAGUCACACUGGAACUGAGACACGGUCCAGACUCCUACGGGAGGCAGCAGUGGGGAAUAUUGGACAAUGGGCGAAAGCCUGAUCCAGCCAUGCCGCGUGUGUGAAGAAGGUCUUCGGAUUGUAAAGCACUUUAAGUUGGGAGGAAGGGCAUUAACCUAAUACGUUAGUGUUUUGACGUUACCGACAGAAUAAGCACCGGCUAACUCUGUGCCAGCAGCCGCGGUAAUACAGAGGGUGCAAGCGUUAAUCGGAAUUACUGGGCGUAAAGCGCGCGUAGGUGGUUCGUUAAGUUGGAUGUGAAAUCCCCGGGCUCAACCUGGGAACUGCAUUCAAAACUGACGAGCUAGAGUAUGGUAGAGGGUGGUGGAAUUUCCUGUGUAGCGGUGAAAUGCGUAGAUAUAGGAAGGAACACCAGUGGCGAAGGCGACCACCUGGACUGAUACUGACACUGAGGUGCGAAAGCGUGGGGAGCAACCAGGAUUAGAUACCCUGGUAGUCCACGCCGUAAACGAUGUCAACUAGCCGUUGGGAGCCUUGAGCUCUUAGUGGCGCAGCUAACGCAUUAAGUUGACCGCCUGGGGAGUACGGCCGCAAGGUUAAAACUCAAAUGAAUUGACGGGGGCCCGCACAAGCGGUGGAGCAUGUGGUUUAAUUCGAAGCAACGCGAAGAACCUUACCAGGCCUUGACAUCCAAUGAACUUUCCAGAGAUGGAUUGGUGCCUUCGGGAACAUUGAGACAGGUGCUGCAUGGCUGUCGUCAGCUCGUGUCGUGAGAUGUUGGGUUAAGUCCCGUAACGAGCGCAUCCCUUGUCCUUAGUUACCAGCACGUAAUGGUGGGCACUCUAAGGAGACUGCCGGUGACAAACCGGAGGAAGGUGGGGAUGACGUCAAGUCAUCAUGGCCCUUACGGCCUGGGCUACACACGUGCUACAAUGGUCGGUACAGAGGGUUGCCAAGCCGCGAGGUGGAGCUAAUCCCACAAAACCGAUCGUAGUCCGGAUCGCAGUCUGCAACUCGACUGCGUGAAGUCGGAAUCGCUAGUAAUCGCGAAUCAGAAUGUCGCGGUGAAUACGUUCCCGGGCCUUGUACACACCGCCCGUCACACCAUGGGAGUGGGUUGCACCAGAAGUAGCUAGUCUAACCUUCGGGAGGACGGUUACCACGGUGUGAUUCAUGACUGGGGUGAAGUCGUAACAAGGUA